ACAGUGUCCGUCAAGACUGGUGAGGUGGGAUUAGAGGCUAUGUAGUCAGAAACACCUGAAAUUGGAUAGGAGAUCUGGUCUGAGGGUAAGGGUGGGCACAGAAUUUGCCCUUCUCUCUGUCCUAGGACACUAGACACUGCUGCUAGAACUCCCCCUCACUGCUGCCUCAGGAAACUGAACCCGGCUGCUAACAUCCUUGCUGAAAUGGAUUCAGUGUAGUAUCUGCUCCUUCAUGCCACUGGCUUCGAAAGGAGGUGGCUCUGAUGACAAUAUCUAAGUCACACAUGCCAGGCCCUACCUUCAAGGGAGUCCAUGAGAGUAUGACUGCAUGCAAAGCUCUUUUCAAUUUCAUCAUCUCAUCCCACCAUCACAACCCUGGGAGAUCAUUUAGAUUCAUAUUAGUUUUGCCAUUUUAUAUGAAAGCCAAGUCUUGGGUAAGUAAACUGAUGUGUCUCAGGACCUCACUUCAGGAAAGAUAAAAUCAGUGUUCAAACCCAUGUUUUAGGACUCUGAGCCCCAGAAUGUUCUACUUCUCUGGAAUGAAGUCUGAUGUGAUUGUGAAUCAAAAGGAUACCUCACUGCCUGGUAGUAUAAGGUGCCACUCAGCCAUCCAUGCUGGAAUUUGACUCAACAGCAAGUUGCCAGGGAAACAGCCAGAUAAGAUCCCGCGACAUUGCUUUGUUCCAUUCCCACUCUCACUUCUAGACCACAUCACCCGGAAGGAGACAAAACCCUGGAUCUGGAAGAAUUUGGGAUGCUGGGCAGUAUUUAACCAAAUGGUGAAAGAGAGGGGCUAGCUGCCAGUCUGACUGUCUCGGUGGAACCAAUACUGCAGCACUGAUCUAGGCCUUUGGAAUACCGAAAAACAGAUGAAAAUCAUGCAUACCUCUUAGCUGGGAGAAGAACAGUAAAUACUAACUACACUAUUGCAGGUCUGACGAAGCAGACAUGAGACGCACAGAAGACAGCUGCUGCUUUGCCCUGUGACCAAGGUCCUCCCCAAUCAUUCCUGCUCUGCUUACAGAAUUAUUAUCAUGGUGAAAGGAAGGAGUGCUUUCCAAAGUGUGAAGAAGAAAUCUGCAAGUCCUCACCACGGAGCCUUGAAAAGGAGGUCACAGAAAUAUCUGGAGCAAAGGACUUCCUCUCACUUGUCUCACCCAAUAGCAAUCUUAGAAUAAAGGUUUCUCGCUCCUGGGCCAAGAUCUGGGUUUUUGCAUUUUUGCAUCAGAUUUUGUUCCGUGUUCUGCUUACUCUGCUUAAAUGCAUGUGCAAAUGAGGCACUCAG